UCAAAGCAUGAUGUUCUAGAGGAAAGACAGAACACAAUACCUGCCCUCCAGCUGUACCUGUAUCAAGGGGACUCACAUCAACUGCCUCUGCCAGCGCCAGGAGCUGCCAACACCCCUUCCCAACAGGCUACAGCUUGGAAGGCCACAAAACUACUACAAUCCCUUUGAAAAAGACCAUCCACAGAAUAUUCCCAAAUGCUGAAGAAUUCCUUAUGAUGGAAGACAAAGAUUAGAUCAGCUUGGAAAAAUUUAGUAAUUAC
rnacentral:lncRNA from 1 species